rnacentral:sRNA from 1 species
UAUUUUACCACAAAUUCGACCUGUAUUCAAAUAAGUUCAUAUAACUUCACACAAUUUUAUAAAAAUAUAUAAAAAAAAUCACACACUUAAUUUCAUAUUUUCCAAUAAUAUGCGUAUAUUUUUAUCUCGCUACUGUAUAUAGUUACUAAAUUGUGGAGAAAUUAGACCAUGUCCAGUGGGGAAUUCUUAUGAGUUUUUUAGCAAAAGUCCUUAGAAUAAUAUGCUAAAAUUAAAUCAGAAGUCAUGAAAUUAGUAAGGUUCGAACCUUAUCUUAGGUGUUUUUGGUUUGGGAAGAGUCUUACACGUGGCCUUUUGUUAUUGGCUGAGGGAAGAGACAAAACCAAAAAAAAAAAAUUCUCCCGUGAUUUAUUUUCAUUUCUAUUGUUCGCUUUGUUUUGUCCGAAGAAACGAAGAGAGAAAUCUCUCUCAAUCAUCAGAAGCUAGCAUGCUCCAAUCAGAUUAUGAAGGUAUGAUUCUACCUUAUUGAUUGUGUAGAUCGUGAGUAGUUAGAGUUAUUGAUAGAUUGCAAUGAAAUUAGGGUUUCGUGAAUUGGGAUUUCUUUGAUGAUGAUGAUUCUGAUGAUUUUUGUUUGUUGAGAUUCGUUAGUUUAUUGUUUCGUAUUGAAUUUGGUUAUAAAAUCAACAAAUUACUCAGUUAUGAUUUCUUCUUUGUUUUAGUGAAAUUAGCCUUGAUUUCGUAUUGGUUCUGUCUUUUAAUGUAGGAAGAUAAUAAGUAAAGUUUGAGAUUAGCUAACACACUUCUCUAAUUGAUAACAAAAGGUAUAAAAAGAGAUUUGUUGAUGCAGGAGUUAGCUUUUGUAAUAUUCUGUGUUUGUGAUUUACUCUGUCAUUGGAAGAGACUAUGUCUUGCCUAGUAUAAUCUCUAUGUGCGAAACUAGAUUUUCUAUCCGAUUGAUACUUGUUAGAAGUAUAAAGUAAAACUCAAUGGCUUUUGUAGUCAACGGGAAUGAGUAUAAUUUGGCUUACUAUCUCACUGAUGAAAUUUAUCCAAAAUGGGCUACAUUUAUCCAAUCUAUUUCACUUCCACAAGAUGAAAAAGCUUCUUUAUUUGCUACAAAUCAAGAAGCUUGCCGUAAAGAUGUUGAACGUGCAUUUGGAGUUUUGCAAGCUCGGUUUGCUAUUGUCAAACAUCCUGCUCUUAUUUGGGAUAAGAUAAAAAUCGGGAAUAUUAUGCGAGCAUGUAUAAUUCUUCACAAUAUGAUAGUAGAAGACGAACGAGAUGGAUACACUCAGUAUGAUGUAUCCGAUUUCGCACAUCCGGAAUCAGCUAGUUCUUCACAAGUGGAUUUCACCUAUUCUACGGACAUGCCUUCAAAUCUUGGUAAUAUGAUGGCCACUCGAACCCGACUUCGUGAUCGGACUAAGCAUGAACACUUAAAAGCUGAUUUGGUUGAACAUAUAUGGCAAAAGUUUGGUCCGAUUCAAGCUUAAUUCUAAUCGUCAUUCAAGUUUUUCAUUUAAUAUGUUUGUUUUGUUUUUAUGUUAUGUAU